GAUAAUUGUUGGGAUUUUGGUU
rnacentral:miRNA from 1 species